rnacentral:rRNA from 1 species
GACGGAGGGUGCUAGCGUUGUUCGGAAUCACUGGGCGUAAAGGGCGCGUAGGCGGCCGCCCGCGUCGGACGUGAAAGCCCGGGGCUCAACUCCGGAACUGCCUUUAAGACUGCAUCGCUUGAAUCCGGGAGAGGUGAGUGGAAUUCCGAGUGUAGAGGUGAAAUUCGUAGAUAUUCGGAAGAACACCAGUGGCGAAGGCGGCUCACUGGACCGGUAUUGACGCUGAGG